rnacentral:rRNA from 1 species
UACGUAGGUGGCAAGCGUUGUCCGGAAUUACUGGGUGUAAAGGGCGUGUAGGCGGGGAUGCAAGUCAGAUGUGAAACCCCACAGCUUAACUGUGGGCUUGCAUCUGAAACUGUAUUUCUUGAGUGUUGGAGAGGGAAGUGGAAUUCCUAGUGUAGCGGUGAAAUGCGUAGAGAUUAGGAGGAACACCAGUGGCGAAGGCGACUUCCUGGCCAACAACUGACGCUGAGGCGCGAAAGCGUGGGGAGCAAACAGGAUUAGAUACCCUGGUAGUCCACGCCGUAAACGAUGGAUACUAGGUGUAGGUGGUAACGACCAUCUGUGCCGGAGUAAACACAAUAAGUAUCCCACCUGGGGAGUACGGCCGCAAGGUUGAA